rnacentral:rRNA from 1 species
CCCUUAGAUGUUCUGGGCCGCACGCGCGCUACACUGAUUCAUGCAACAAGUUUUGUCCUUGGCUGAUAGGCCUGGGUAAUCUUUGAACGUGAAUCGUGAUGGGGAUAGAUGAUUGCAAUUAUUCAUCUUCAACGAGAAAUUCCUAGUAAACGCAAGUCAUCAGCUUGCAUUGAUUACGUCCCUGCCCUUUGUACACACCGCCCGUCGCACCUACCGAUUGAAUGGUCCGGUGAAAUCUUCGGAUCUGAGAGAUGUCUGAUUAAUUUCGGACGCCUUUUGGAAAAGUUGCUUAAACCUUACCAUUUAGAGGAAGGUGAAGUCGUAACA